AGCUGUUUCCAUGCCUCCUCCUGUUCCUUAUCCACUACAGCCAUUAUUUCCGGUGCAGAAUAUGAGGCCACCACUGCCAUCAACUACUUCUUUUAUAGUUCAAACUCAUAUUACUCCUCCUGGAUUGCCUACAUCUGCACCUUCUUCUUGAGGAUCUGAAGAAGCAGCGAAGAUGAUGGGCGAUUUCGUCAUUGAAUUCUGGCCAAGCGUCGGAUCACGUCAGGUAGCAGUUUAUGUCCUGACAAAGAUACAUGGAAGAUCAAGGUUCGUUUUCUUCAUCGAUGCAGAGUUGUAAUAGGGUGUGAAAAAUGAGGCUUCAAUCUUUAAGGGUGGCCAAUCACUUAACUACUUCACCCCAUUUUUAGGGAUUUCCUCGGAUCUCUGGGAAAGCAUAUGAGACUAUGGGCAAGGCAUCCACAGUUGUGGCAGUGAACUGCUGAAAGAGGAUGAGGUUAUAGCGUCAUGGUCACUUGUGUGGGGAGGAAAAUCCCAAUAUAGUGAGACAGUGGGAAACAACUUUAUAGCAGGCUAUUUUAGAUUUUAUGAGUUUUGCAGUGAUUGGCGAAGUACCUACCAUUUGUCCUGUCGUCACAAUGAGAGCACGAUCAGAAAGAGGUGUUGUUUGGGUAUUAUUUUGGAUGACCAGUGAUGCAGAAUUUCGUCACCAUGUCAUGUGCUUCUCCAAUCGAUUUUCAAAGUGCUUGAAAUUUCAUCACAGAGGUGUACGAUGUUGUAGUUGGCUGUUCAGUAGCUUAUGUUUCAGUUUGAACUUGAAGUUGAUCGCCAACUUUUUUUUUGGUCCUGUCUAGCGGGCAAUGUUUAGAUGAAGUUGUUUUUGUUGCUCACUUUUAUGAUAUCAUGUUUAUGUUGGAUCUUUGUUAGUUUGCUAACUAGCAUUUGUGGGUGAUAUCUUUUUGAA